GAUUGCCUCAGUAACGGCGAGUGAAGCGGCAAAAGCUCAAAUUUUAAAGCUGGCACCUCCGGUGUCCGCGUUGUAAUUUUGUGAGGCAUCUCCGGGUAGGGCGCCGGCCUAAGUUCCUUGGAACAGGACGUCAUAGAGGGUGAGAAUCCCGUGCUUGGCUGGCUGUCCCCGUCCAUGUGAGGUGUCUUCGACGAGUCGAGUUGUUUGGGAAUGCAGCUCAAAAUGGGUGGUAAAUUUCAUCUAAAGCUAAAUAUUGGUGGGAGACCGAUAGCGCACAAGUAGAGUGAUCGAAAGAUGAAAAGCACUUUGAAAAUAGAGUUAAAAAGUACGUGAAAUUGUUGAAAGGGAAGCGCUUGAGACCAGACUUCGGUGGGGAGUGAUCAGCUGUCCUUCUGGGCGGUGCACUUGCUCCCCUCCGGGCCAGCAUCGGUUGGGACGGCGGGAUAAAGGUCCUGGGAAUGUGGCUCCUUUCGGGGAGUGUUAUAGCCCGGGUGAAUGCCGCCAGCCCCGACCGAGGACCGCGCCUUCGGGCUAGGAUG
rnacentral:rRNA from 1 species